GAAAGGCACUUUGUAUUACGAAUGAACGAGUUGUGUUGUUAAUAAGCGAGAAAUUCGACGACGUUGGACAGAUUUUUGGAUACAAACGCAGGACUACUUUAUGCGCCAACGCGGAAGGUUACACUUAACGACGGCCAUUUAAGUAUAUAAGGCCCCCACUACGAGAAUUGCGCCGCCAUUCUGCAAGUCCUCUCUGAACGGUGCGGCUGGAUCUCACCGAGGAAUUCUUGAAUGCGCCUCGAGCAACUUUACCGCUGGCGAGCGACUAGAGGCGCGAAUUGGAUACAGUCUCACCGUUUGAGAUGGCGGAUGCAGGUGGAAAAAAAAAGGAUAGGGAGAAAGAGAGAAAGAGAGAGAGAGAGAGUUGCUGUAAUGCAGGUGCAGACGAUACCUUGGGAUUUCGUACGCAUACA